GUUCCUUACGGACAUCUCUGGUGAAUAAUCUGAGAAGGCCUCACUUAUAAUUUGGCUUGAAGAAAACACGAGAGCAAGUCAUGCAAUGUUCAAGUAAGAGUGCAGCAGUCAGAAGAAAAAGCUAUGCAAGGGCCCUAAGGUUGAAAGUGUUCUUAGUGUCUUUGAGAAACAUCAAGGAAUGUGCAAAAGGCAGAAUGAUAGAAGAUGAGAUCAGAGAGGGGAAGUAAAUUCAACAACAGAAAUUGAGGAUGAGGAACAUGGUGUUGCAGUUCAAACCAGUUCCAGCCAAAAUGGACUCUAGUCACAAACAAAUAGUAAUAACAAUCCAAACUUGUGGCUGAAUAGAGUUCUGAAGUUUUGAGAAAGAGGUAAAGAUAUGAAAUAGUUGUCUAGGAGCAGGCAAAAAAAUGGCUUAGAGAAAUUACAAUUGCUACUUAGCACUAAGGGGCCACUUGAGAUUAGAGGUGAUACAUGAAGAGUGAGAUUUGAACUGAGUUUUAAAGAAUGUUAAGAACUUGG
rnacentral:lncRNA from 10 species